GGGUUGUGAGGUUAAGCGACUAAGCGUACACGGUGGAUGCCCUGGCAGUCAGAGGCGAUGAAGGACGUGCUAAUCUGCGAUAAGCGUCGGUAAGGUGAUAUGAACCGUUAUAGCCGGCGAUUUCCGAAUGGGGAAACCCAGUGUGUUUCGACACACUAUCAUUACGUGAAUACAUAGCGUAAUGAAGCGAACCGGGGGAACUGAAACAUCUAAGUACCCCGAGGAAAAGAAAUCAACCGAGAUUCCCCCAGUAGCGGCGAGCGAACGGGGAGCAGCCCAGAACCUGAAUCAGUUUGUGUGUUAGUGGAAGCGUCUGGAAAGUCGCAGGGUACAGGGUGAUACUCCCGUACACUAAAAUGCACAGGCUGUGAGUUCGAAGAGUAGGGCGGGACACGUGGUAUCCUGUCUGAAUAUGGGGGGACCAUCCUCCAAGGCUAAAUACUCCUGACUGACCGAUAGUGAACCAGUACCGUGAGGGAAAGGCGAAAAGAACCCCGGCGAGGGGAGUGAAAAAGAACCUGAAACCGUGUACGUACAAGCAGUGGGAGCCUCUUUAUGGGGUGACUGCGUACCUUUUGUAUAAUGGGUCAGCGACUUAUAUUCUGUAGCAAGGUUAACCGUAUAGGGGAGCCGCAGGGAAACCGAGUCUUAACUGGGCGUUAAGUUGCAGGGUAUAGACCCGAAACCCGGUGAUCUAGCCAUGGGCAGGUUGAAGGUUGGGUAACACUAACUGGAGGACCGAACCGACUAAUGUUGAAAAAUUAGCGGAUGACUUGUGGCUGGGGGUGAAAGGCCAAUCAAACCGGGAGAUAGCUGGUUCUCCCCGAAAGCUAUUUAGGUAGCGCCUCGUGAACUCAUCUUCGGGGGUAGAGCACUGUUUCGGCUAGGGGGCCAUCCCGGCUUACCAACCCGAUGCAAACUACGAAUACCGAAGAAUGUUAUCACGGGAGACACACGGCGGGUGCUAACGUCCGUCGUGAAGAGGGAAACAACCCAGACCGCCAGCUAAGGUCCCAAAGUCAUGGUUAAGUGGGAAACGAUGUGGGAAGGCACAGACAGCCAGGAUGUUGGCUUAGAAGCAGCCAUCAUUUAAAGAAAGCGUAAUAGCUCACUGGUCGAGUCGGCCUGCGCGGAAGAUGUAACGGGGCUAAACCAUGCACCGAAGCUGCGGCAGCGACACUAUGUGUUGUUGGGUAGGGGAGCGUUCUGUAAGCCGUUGAAGGUGAACUGUGAGGUUUGCUGGAGGUAUCAGAAGUGCGAAUGCUGACAUAAGUAACGAUAAAGCGGGUGAAAAGCCCGCUCGCCGGAAGACCAAGGGUUCCUGUCCAACGUUAAUCGGGGCAGGGUGAGUCGACCCCUAAGGCGAGGCCGAAAGGCGUAGUCGAUGGGAAACAGGUUAAUAUUCCUGUACUCGGUGUUACUGCGAAGGGGGGACGGAGAAGGCUAUGUUAGCCGGGCGACGGUUGUCCCGGUUUAAGCAUGUAGGCGGAGAGUUUAGGUAAAUCCGGACUCUUAUUAACGCUGAGGUGUGAUGACGAGGCACUACGGUGCUGAAGUAACAAAUGCCCUGCUUCCAGGAAAAGCCUCUAAGCAUCAGGUAACAUUGAAUCGUACCCCAAACCGACACAGGUGGUCAGGUAGAGAAUACCAAGGCGCUUGAGAGAACUCGGGUGAAGGAACUAGGCAAAAUGGUGCCGUAACUUCGGGAGAAGGCACGCUGUCGUUAGGUGAAACCCCUCGCGGGUGGAGCUGAAGGCAGUCGAAGAUACCAGCUGGCUGCAACUGUUUAUUAAAAACACAGCACUGUGCAAACACGAAAGUGGACGUAUACGGUGUGACGCCUGCCCGGUGCCGGAAGGUUAAUUGAUGGGGUUAUCCGCAAGGAGAAGCUCUUGAUCGAAGCCCCGGUAAACGGCGGCCGUAACUAUAACGGUCCUAAGGUAGCGAAAUUCCUUGUCGGGUAAGUUCCGACCUGCACGAAUGGCGUAAUGAUGGCCAGGCUGUCUCCACCCGAGACUCAGUGAAAUUGAAAUCGCUGUGAAGAUGCAGUGUACCCGCGGCAAGACGGAAAGACCCCGUGAACCUUUACUAUAGCUUGACACUGAACAUUGAGCCUUGAUGUGUAGGAUAGGUGGGAGGCUUUGAAGCGUGGACGCCAGUCUGCGUGGAGCCAACCUUGAAAUACCACCCUUUAAUGUUUGAUGUUCUAACGUAGACCCGUGAUCCGGGUUGCGGACAGUGUCUGGUGGGUAGUUUGACUGGGGCGGUCUCCUCCUAAAGCGUAACGGAGGAGCACGAAGGUUAGCUAAUCACGGUCGGACAUCGUGAGGUUAGUGCAAAGGCAUAAGCUAGCUUGACUGCGAGAGUGACGGCUCGAGCAGGUGCGAAAGCAGGUCUUAGUGAUCCGGUGGUUCUGAAUGGAAGGGCCAUCGCUCAACGGAUAAAAGGUACUCCGGGGAUAACAGGCUGAUACCGCCCAAGAGUUCAUAUCGACGGCGGUGUUUGGCACCUCGAUGUCGGCUCAUCACAUCCUGGGGCUGAAGUAGGUCCCAAGGGUAUGGCUGUUCGCCAUUUAAAGUGGUACGCGAGCUGGGUUUAGAACGUCGUGAGACAGUUCGGUCCCUAUCUGCCGUGGGCGCUGGAGAAUUGAGGGGGGCUGCUCCUAGUACGAGAGGACCGGAGUGGACGCAUCACUGGUGUUCGGGUUGUCAUGCCAAUGGCAUUGCCCGGUAGCUAAAUGCGGAAGAGAUAAGCGCUGAAAGCAUCUAAGCGCGAAACUUGCCCCGAGAUGAGUUCUCCCUGACUCCUUGAGAGUCCUGAAGGAACGUUGAAGACUACGACGUUGAUAGGCUGGGUGUGUAAGCGUAGCGAUACGUUGAGCUAACCAGUACUAAUGAUCCGUGAGGCUUAACCUUACAACACCGAAGGUGUUUUAG
rnacentral:rRNA from 1 species